rnacentral:rRNA from 1 species
UAAUGUAUCGGAACGUGCCCAGUCUGGGGGAGUAACUGCUCGAAAGAGCAGCUAAUACCGCAUACGACCUGAGGGUGAAAGCGGGGGAUCGCAAGACCUCGCGCGAUUGGAGCGGCCGAUAUCAGAUUAGGUAGUUGGUGAGGUAAAGGCUCACCAAGCCGACGAUCUGUAGCUGGUCUGAGAGGACGACCAGCCACACUGGGACUGAGACACGGCCCAG